GGAGCUAACGCGUUAAGUAGACCGCCUGGGGAGUACGGUCGCAAGAUUAAAACUCAAAUGAAUUGACGGGGGCCCGCACAAGCGGUGGAGCAUGUGGUUUAAUUCGAUGCAACGCGAAGAACCUUACCUACUCUUGACAUCUACAGAAGCCAGCGGAGACGCAGGUGUGCCUUCGGGAACUGUAAGACAGGUGCUGCAUGGCUGUCGUCAGCUCGUGUUGUGAAAUGUUGGGUUAAGUCCCGCAACGAGCGCAACCCUUAUCCUUGUUUGCCAGCACUUCGGGUGGGAACUCCAGGGAGACUGCCGGUGAUAAACCGGAGGAAGGUGGGGACGACGUCAAGUCAUCAUGGCCCUUACGAGUAGGGCUACACACGUGCUACAAUGGCGCAUACAGAGGGCGGCCAACUUGCGAGAGUGAGCGAAUCCCAAAAAGUGCGUCGUAGUCCGGAUUGGAGUCUGCAACUCGACUCCAUGAAGUCGGAAUCGCUAGUAAUCGUGGAUCAGAAUGCCACGGUGAAUACGUUCCCGGGCCUUGUACACACCGCCCGUCACACCAUGGGAGUGGGCUGCAAAAGAAGUGGGUAG
rnacentral:rRNA from 1 species